rnacentral:rRNA from 1 species
AGAGCGGGAGCCCGGAGAUGGGCACUGAGACAAGGGCCCAGGCCCUACGGGGCGCAGCAGUUGCGAAAACUCCGCAAUGCGCGAAAGCGUGACGGGGCUACCCCGAGUGCCGCCCGUUGAGGGCGGCUUUUCCACGGUGUAAGGAGCCGUGGGAAUAAGGAGAGGGCAAGACUGGUGUCAGCCGCCGCGGUAAUACCAGCUCUUCGAGUGGUGGGGACGAUUAUUGGGCUUAAAGCGUUCGUAGCCGGCUUAACAAGUCUUCCGUUAAAUCCAACGAUCUAAUCGUUGGGCCGCGGGAGAUACUGUUGGGCUAGGAGGCGGGAGAAGCCGACGGUAUUCUCGGGGUAGGGGUGAAAUCCUGUAAUCCCGGGAGGACCACCAGUGGCGAAGGCGGUCGGCU